rnacentral:rRNA from 1 species
AUGCGCCAUAGGAAAUGGCCUGGGAAUCCUGUGUGCUCUUUUUGCAAUGAGAUAGAGACUUCCCAGCACUUGUUCUUUACUUGUUCUGUUGCAAGAGUGGUGUGGCGAUCUAUUGGGGUGGCUAUUGGCACCGAUAAGUGCCCAGAUAACUAUUGGAAAUUCUUUGCUUGGUGCCACUCCUUUCUUCUAGGAGGGGACAAAUUCUAUACGGUUGGACUUGCAGCCGCUUGCUGGGCAAUCUGGCUCGCUCGCAAUAAGGCUACCUUUGAAAAAAAAAAGCAAAUCAAGUCUCCUUUUGAAAACGUGUUUUCCAUGUGCUCUUUUCUUUUGUAUUGGACAAGACUGCAGAAAGGUGAAGACGCCGACAAGCUUCGAUCAGGUGCCAAGAUGAUCAGGGCCAGCAUGAUGCAGCUGAUGAGGCUUUGCGGGGCCGCCGCCCAGCCGAUUGGAGGAGCUUGA